UGCAUUAUUUGGUAUUAUUUGGUAGAAUUAUUAUUCUGUUUUCCUUAGAUAAUUCCGGUGAGGUAGUGGAGAUGAUCGGUAGUCUGGUCAGUAACCAAACAGACCUCAGUCAUUCUGAGGUGGACACUGUGCUGAACAAACUGGAGGAUGUGGUGGCCGUCAGCCCUGUCUCCCCGGCGUUGGGAGACAAGAUCAUGGACAUCAUCUCAGACCUCCUUAACUCCAAAGCUGAUCUGGCCUCGUUCACCAACAAAAUCCUUGGUCUCACAGACAGAGUUGGGGAUAAAAUGACGUUUGACGGAGAGACUCACAGCAUAACAGUCCCAUCAAUGGCCAUGCAGCUCGUCACCGUUAACUCCAGCCGGUUCCAGGGCCUGACAUUUGGCGUGUCCUCGUUCACAAGUGACAGUUCCCCAGAGGUGAGUGGAAGAAUAAUGUAGUGCUGUCUGAAGGGAGG
rnacentral:lncRNA from 1 species